rnacentral:piRNA from 1 species
UGACAGAAUAGUUUCUUCAGGCC